rnacentral:SRP_RNA from 1 species
CCGUGCUAGGCGGGGAGCUAGCGGUGCCCUGUACCCGCAAUCCGCUCCAGCGGGGCUGAAUCCCCUCCCAAGGUCCGGCAUCGCGGUCGCAGCGUGCGUGGCGUGGCGUUGACGAUCGGGUCCUGUGCAACGCCGGCCCGUGAACCCCGUCAGAUCCGGAAGGAAGCAGCGGUAAGCGGCAGUCGUCGUGUGCCGCAGGCGCGCCUGAUCCGAGUCGCGCGCGUGUCGUGUGCCCGAGGUGUCCUCAUCGACGGAGGGUGCACGG